rnacentral:misc_RNA from 1 species
AAAGUCGUAACAAGGUUUCCGUAGGUGAACCUGCGGAAGGAUCAUUAGUAGUGUUUGGGGGUCAGUUGCCGGUGUCGCGAGACAUGGGUUGGCUGGCUCUCUUAUGAUCUGUGAACUGGGUUUUGGUUGCGGUUGGGGGUCUGCCUUUCGGGGUGGGGUCUCUCCGCGGCCGAGCCUUUUUGUUUUCUGCUUUAUUUUACUACUUUCUUAGUUGAAAAACUAGAAAUCCAAGACAACUUUCAGCAAUGGAUCUCUUGGCUCUU